UACGGAGGAUCCAAGCGUUAUCCGGAUUUAUUGGGUUUAAAGGGUGCGUAGGCGGCUCAUUAAGUCAGGGGUGAAAGACGGUGGCUCAACCAUCGCAGUGCCUUUGAUACUGAUGAGCUUGAAUACACUUGAGGUAGGCGGAAUGUGACAAGUAGCGGUGAAAUGCAUAGAUAUGUCACAGAACACCAAUUGCGAAGGCAGCUUACUAAGGUGCAAUUGACGCUGAGGCACGAAAGCGUGGGGAUCAAACAGG
rnacentral:rRNA from 1 species